rnacentral:rRNA from 1 species
UGGGGAAUAUUGCACAAUGGGCGAAAGCCUGAUGCAGCAACGCAGCGUGAGUGAUGAAGGCCUUCGGGUCGUAAAGCUCUGUCCUCAAGGAAGAUAAUGACGGUACUUGAGGAGGAAGCCCCGGCUAACUACGUGCCAGCAGCCGCGGUAAUACGUAGGGGGCUAGCGUUAUCCGGAAUUACUGGGCGUAAAGGGUGCGUAGGUGGUUUCUUAAGUCAGAGGUGAAAGGCUACGGCUCAACCGUAGUAAGCCUUUGAAACUGGGAGACUUUAGUGCAGGAGAGGAGAGUGGAAUUCCUAUUGUAGCGGUGAAAUGCGUAGAUAUUAGGAGGAACACCAGUUGCGAAGGCGGCUCUCUGGACUGUAACUGACACUGAGGCACGAAAGCGUGGGGAGCAAACAGG